rnacentral:lncRNA from 1 species
AGACAAAGAGAGGGGGAUCAGCUGCUAACAAAGAUGGAGGAACUUCUCCAGAACUUACCUUGAUGGUGCAAUCCAUGGCACGCCUCUACCUGCUGCUUUCCGCCUAGAUCUCCAUGGGCAGUCAGAUGAGUUGCAUUGGCAGGGCUGAUCUUGCGCAGGGGGCCGGAUGAACAAGGCUUGGAAGCAAGACCAGGAGGGGUGCGUCCCACAAAAGUCAGGAGGACCCAAUGUUUGAUCUUUAAAGCAAGCGUUUUUUAUGGGUUGAAAAUUAGCUUCUGAAGUCGGAAAGGCACUGUGCACUUUCAGAGUCCAAGGAGCAGAAGAUAUUUUGUGCUACUCAAACUUUGGUAUUUGUUUACCUGCAAGAAAUUUCUCCAAACCGGCCAUCCCAUAAGAGACCUCUGCAAAGUGGUGAGUAAAAUCAGGGGUUGAGGCAAGGAUUGUAUUGGAGUGAGGUGUGUGUGUGUGUGUGUGAA